rnacentral:rRNA from 1 species
UUUUUUUUUUUUUUUUUUUUCCCCGCAGACGAACGCUGGCGGCGUGCCUAAUACAUGCAAGUCGAACGCUUCUUUUUCCACCGGAGCUUGCUCCACCGGAAAAAGAGGAGUGGCGAACGGGUGAGUAACACGUGGGUAACCUGCCCAUCAGAAGGGGAUAACACUUGGAAACAGGUGCUAAUACCGUAUAACAAUCGAAACCGCAUGGUUUUGAUUUGAAAGGCGCUUUCGGGUGUCGCUGAUGGAUGGACCCGCGGUGCAUUAGCUAGUUGGUGAGGUAACGGCUCACCAAGGCCACGAUGCAUAGCCGACCUGAGAGGGUGAUCGGCCACAUUGGGACUGAGACACGGCCCAAACUCCUACGGGAGGCAGCAGUAGGGAAUCUUCGGCAAUGGACGAAAGUCUGACCGAGCAACGCCGCGUGAGUGAAGAAGGUUUUCGGAUCGUAAAACUCUGUUGUUAGAGAAGAACAAGGAUGAGAGUAACUGUUCAUCCCUUGACGGUAUCUAACCAGAAAGCCACGGCUAACUACGUGCCAGCAGCCGCGGUAAUACGUAGGUGGCAAGCGUUGUCCGGAUUUAUUGGGCGUAAAGCGAGCGCAGGCGGUUUCUUAAGUCUGAUGUGAAAGCCCCCGGCUCAACCGGGGAGGGUCAUUGGAAACUGGGAGACUUGAGUGCAGAAGAGGAGAGUGGAAUUCCAUGUGUAGCGGUGAAAUGCGUAGAUAUAUGGAGGAACACCAGUGGCGAAGGCGGCUCUCUGGUCUGUAACUGACGCUGAGGCUCGAAAGCGUGGGGAGCAAACAGGAUUAGAUACCCUGGUAGUCCACGCCGUAAACGAUGAGUGCUAAGUGUUGGAGGGUUUCCGCCCUUCAGUGCUGCAGCUAACGCAUUAAGCACUCCGCCUGGAGCUCACAGGUGGGUGGUUAGUUCUGCU